rnacentral:rRNA from 1 species
GACGAACGCUGGCGGCGUGCCUAAUACAUGCAAGUAGAACGCACAGUUUAUACCGUAGCUUGCUACACCAUAGACUGUGAGUUGCGAACGGGUGAGUAACGCGUAGGUAACCUGCCUGGUAGCGGGGGAUAACUAUUGGAAACGAUAGCUAAUACCGCAUAAUAUUAAUUAUUGCAUGAUAAUUAAUUGAAAGGUGCAAUUGCACCACUACCAGAUGGACCUGCGUUGUAUUAGCUAGUAGGUGAGGUAACGGCUCACCUAGGCGACGAUACAUAGCCGAUCUGAGAGGGUGAUCGGCCACACUGGGACUGAGACACGGCCCAGACUCCUACGGGAGGCAGCAGUAGGGAAUCUUCGGCAAUGGACGAAAGUCUGACCGAGCAACGCCGCGUGAGUGAAGAAGGUUUUCGGAUCGUAAAGCUCUGUUGUAAGAGAAGAACGGGUGUGAGAGUGGAAAGUUCACACUGUGACGGUAUCUUACCAGAAAGGGACGGCUAACUACGUG